UCCGUAGGUGAACCUGCGGAGGGAUCAUUACAGAGCUCCGAAAGGACUCCCAAACCAUUGUGAACAUACCAAAGUUGCUUCGGCGGAUCCGCCCCGGGCGCGCCUCUGGGCGUGCCCCGGGCCAAGGCGGCCGCCGAGGGCCCCAAAUUAUUGAAUUUAUAGCGGACUUCUGAGUACCAAAACAAAAUAAGUUAAAACUUUCAGCAACGGAUCUCUUGGCUCUGGCAUCGAUGAAGAACGCAGCGAAAUGCGAUAAGUAAUGUGAAUUGCAGAAUUCAGUGAAUCAUCGAAUCUUUGAACGCACAUUGCGCCCGCCAGUAUUCUGGCGGGCAUGCCUGUCCGAGCGUCAUUUCAACCCUCAGGGCCCGUCCGCGGGACCUGGCGUUGGGGAUCGGCCGCCCACCGCGGCGGCCGGCCCCGAAAGACAGUGGCGGCUCCCCCGCGAACUCCUCUGCGUAGUAGACAUACGACCGCAGCUGGCUGGCGGGGCGGCCACGCCGUAAAACCCCCAACUUCUCAAGGUUGACCUCGGAUCAGGUAGGAAUACCCGCUGAACUUAAGCAUAUCAAUAAGCGGAGGGAAGUCGGACUGGCCAAGGGGCACACCAGGGGGGGGGGAUA
rnacentral:rRNA from 1 species